rnacentral:lncRNA from 1 species
UUGGGUUUCAACUUUGCCUACCCUUGGGACUAAAAGACUUUGUUGUUAUUGUAGAGAAACAGGGUUGAGGGCAAUUGGCCACACCUCAAUGAGAGGGGGCACCUUCUAUUAUAUAGAGCUGGCUGGCCUGCUUUACAAGGCAGGGAUAAUUCCCCUGAUUUAUCCCUGAUUUACAUCUGCUAUAUCUAGCAACUAAUCCCUGAUUUACAUCUGCUAUCUAUAGCAGCUAGGAUUCUAUCCCUGAUUUACAUCUGCUAUCUAUAGCAGCUAGGAUAUCCACAGAUGGCAUAUUCUAUUGCCUAACACCCGCCCGCAGUCGCAGCGGGAGGCUCCCGGACGCAAAGACUGGAUCGAAAUUCUCGAAAGAGUGCUGUCGGAAGCCCUUUAGUCAUGAUGUCGGCGAACUGGUGAGAGGAGGGCACAUGGAGAACCCGAAUUUCACCAAGGGCCACCUUUUCGCGGACGAAGUGAAUGUCGAUCUCGAUGUGAUUCGUUCGCUUGUGGUGGACGGGGUUGGCCGUCAUGUAGACGGCGCUGACAUUGUCGCAGAAGACAACUGUGGCAGACGGCAGCUGGAUGUGUAGCUCCUGGAGUAACUGUCGAAGCCAGCAGCACUCAGCCACAACGUGAGCCACAGCCCGAUACUCGGCCUCGGCGCUAGAGCGGGACACCGUGGUCUGGCGCUUGGAGGACCAUGAAACUAGAUUGUCGCCGAGAUAGACACAGAAGCCAGAGGUGGAUCGUCGAGAGUCUGGGCAGCCUGCCCAGUCGGCGUCAGAGUAGGCAGUCAGCUUGGUGACAGACCCGGUGCCAAUGUGAAGACCCGAGGAGAGAGUCCCCUGGACGAAGCGUAAGAUGCGCUUGACCAGCGCACGGUGAGGCUCGCGCGGGGCGUGCAUGAAGAGGCACACCUGCUGAACAGCAUAUGCCAGAUCAGGACGAGUCAACGUCAGGUACUGGAGAGCCCCCGCUAAGCUCCUGUACUCUGAUGCAUCCUUCUCUGACAGUAGAUCCCCGUCGGUCGCAGAUAGCUUGGCGUGAGUGUCAACAGGUGUCGAUGUCGGAUGACACUCAGCCAUGCCUGCGCGCUGAAGAAGCUCGACCGCGUACUGUCGCUGGGAGAGGAAGAGACCAUCGGAGGAGCGUGUGACAGCGAUGCCGAGGAAGUGGUGGAGGGCGCCAAGAUCCGUCAUGGAAAACUCGGAGCUCAACCGAGUCAUAAUGCGUUGUAGCAGGGCCGACGACGAGGCGGUGAGGAUGAUGUCGUCGACGUACAACAGUAGGUAGGCGAGACUUGUCCCCUCUCGUAGAACGAAAAGAGACGUGUCGGAGAUGGAGGCGACGAAGCCGAGGUGCCGGACGAAGGUGGCGAAGCGCUGGUACCAUGCUCGCGGAGCCUGCUUCAGGCCAUACAAGGACUUCUGCAGAUGGCAGACGUGAUCUGGAGCGCCAGGGUCGACGAAUCCUGGCGGCUGUUGGCAGUAGACGGUCUCCUCGAGGUGGCCGUGAAGAAAGGCGUUCUUCACGUCCAGUUGAUGAAUGGGCCAGGCGCGGGAUGCAGCGAUGCUGAGUACAGACCGUAUGGUAGCCGGUUUGACAACCGGGCUGAAGGUCUCGUCGUAGUCAACGCCCUCGCGCUGGGAGAAGCCACGGACAACCCAGCGAGCCUUGUGGCGAGCAAGGGACCCAUCGGCAUGGAACUUGUGCCGGAAGAUCCACUUCCCUGUUACGACGUUGGCUCCGGGGGGCCGCGGAACAAGCUCCCAGGUGUUGUUGUCGACGAGGGCCUGAUAUUCAUCCAUCAUCGCGGCACGCCAGUUGGCGUCAGCCAGCGCGCUGCGGUAGUUUGUCGGAAGCGGCGAUGGUGAGGAUGACGUCGUGGCCGCCAGCCCCUCAUAGCAGACACGAGGAAUGGCACCCGUCAUGGUGCGAGUGACGCGCGGCGACGGCGGAGGCGAUGAAGUCAUAGGGGCUGCUGGGACAGCUGCCGGCUCGGACGUAGACGUUGUACGGGAACGACGGACGUAGACUCGUGGGAAGGGAACCACGUCGGGUCCAGGCGGGGGCACGGGACCACGCCCGCCCGGUGUCGCAGAAGGCGAGUCAUGUGAGGCUGCAACGUCUGGGGGCGGUUGCUCAACAUCCGAGUGGGAUGGAGCAACCACGGGCGUCGAGGAUGGAGUCCCACCUGCAACAACAGUAGGACAGGGCACCGAAACCAUAUCGUCGUCGAGGAGGAAUUCUAGGGAAGCAGAGGACGAGACGUCUGAGGUGGCUGCAAAGGGAAAGGUGGUCUCGUCGAAUGUGACAUGGCGAGAGAUGAUGAUGCGACGGGUUGAUAGGUCGAGACAGCGGUAACCUUUGUGUGAGCUAGGAUAUCCUAGGAAGAUGCAUGCCGUGGAGCGAGGGGCGAGCUUAUGUUUAGAGGUUGCUUGCAUGUUGGGGUAACAGAGAGACCCAAAAACACGCAGAUGGCUAUAAGUUGGUGGUUGAUUAUGCAGACGAGUAUAGGGAAUUUCAUGCUGAAUAGAGGAGGAUGGGCGCCUAUUAUGGAGGUAGCAGGCUGUCAGGAGUCCCUCGGCCCAAUAUGUGGGUGGUAGGGAAGCAUGUAGAAGCAUGGUGCGAAUUGAAUUGUUGAGUGUGCGGAUGAUACGUUCAGCCUUGCCAUUUUGGGGAGAUGUGUAGGGACAGGAGAGGCGAAGGUGAGUGCCUUGAGCAGCGAGGAAUUUGAUGGUGGCAGUGUUUACGAAUUCAGUGCCGUUAUCAGUCUGAAAGCAUUUGACGGGGAGGCUGAAUUGUGUUUGGGCAGAGGCAGCAAGCUCGACUAAGUGUUGGUGGACAUCAGAUUUUUUUCGGAGCGGAAAAACCCAACAGUAGUGAGUGUAAUCAUCCAAACAGACCAAGUAAUAUGAAAAACCAGACAAACUAUUGAUGGGUGAAGUCCAUACAUCACAGUGAACGAGUUCAAAGGGUGCAUGAGUUAUGGAAUGCGAAGAACUAAAAGGUAGACGCGUAUGCUUGCCUAGUUGACAUGAGUGACAUAGGGAGUGUUGUACUUUAUUACAGGAAAUAACAUGAAGUUUAUUGAGACGCUCUAAAACGGCGGGGGCGGGGUGACCGAGACGUUGAUGCCAGAGAGUUGACGAUGUAGCCAGGAGAGCAUGAGGUGGAGCGCCAGGUGUGGAGGCAGGCAUGGUGUAUAGGUCCCCGUCGCAGUUACAACGGAGAAUCACGCGUUCCGUCCUGAGAUCCUUAAUAGAGAAACCAUGGGCGUCAAAUUCAAAGGAACAAUUGUUGUCGCGAGUGAAUUGACGAACGGAUAACAGGUUGCGGACUAUGGAUGGGGCGACAAGGAUAUUAUUAAGAGCAAAAUUUGUUGUAGGUGUAGGAAGGACGGAAUGACCUCUAGACAUAACAGGUAUACUAGUGCCAUUACCUACUGUUAUUGAGGAGAUGGAGGGGGGAAGGCGCUGAGUAAGCAUACCAUCCGAGGACGUCAUGUGCGUAGAGGCGCCGGAGUCAACAACCCAGGGCGAGUUGCCCUGAAGUUGCAUGUUUUGCAGGGCAGCGAUGAGGCCUGCUGCAUCCCAGGUGCUGGUGGAGGUGUUGGAGCUGCUGGAGGACGCCUGGAGUGGAGCGAAGGCGGUGUGGGCCUGCGGGGAAGACCCGAGAAUGCCCAGGGUGCGCCCAGCCUGGGCACUAGAACCUCCCUGGCGGCGCUGUCCAGGAGGGGUGACGCGCUCUCCAGGGGCCACACGUUCGCCAGUCCAGGGAUUAAAGCCCCAGGGAACACGUUUGUUGGUGCUGGUGUUGCCGGAGUUGUUGGAGAAGCUACCAGAGGUGUUGUAGAAGGGCUGGUGGCCGCCUUUUUUGGUAUUAGGGCGCCGGCCGCCCUGCUAGUGCUGCUGCUGCGAACCACCAACAUUAGCUAGGAGGGCAGCAGCAGCACGCGUCUUCUCGUCGUUCUGCAGCCGCAGCUCUUUGAGGAGUAGCUGAUGGCGUGCGGUGGCGAGGGUGAGGGGUUGCUGUCCGGCGAUGUUGUCGGCGACGCCGGAGUAGACCUCGUUAAGUCCACGCAGCAGGUUGAGGACGAGGUUGGGCUCAGAUACGGGCUGCCCAACGUCGCGUAGUUCGUCGGCCUUCUCCUUCAUGCGAACGCAGUAGGCGUCAAUGGACAGGUCCCCCUGAGUCAUCGAGUGAAACUCGUGAUUCAGGAAGAUGGCGCGGGGAGCUUUGUUUGCCUGGAACACCUCGCCGAUGGCCUUCCAAAGGGCGCUCGCCGUCUGGGUGCUGUCGGUCAUGGCGAGGUUGAGGACGGCGUCGGAGGUGGUGCUGUACAUCCAUCCGCGGACGCAGAAGUCAGCCUGUGCCCAUGCCGCAUCGGUGGGGCGCGAAGUGGAGAGGUGAUGCAGCAGCCCAAUUUCCCACACGUGGCCUGAAACGUCGUCGACCACUUGGUGUAGUUGGAAGGUUUCAACUCCAGGGUCAUGGGGACGUGGAGCUUGAUGUUGAUGGUGGCAAAGGGGCAGAGGACAGGAGCAGAAUCGGCAGCAUCGGAGAUGGUGCUCAUGGCGCAGGGAAGGGGAAGGAGAGGGCAGACGGCGCGGUCUGGUUAAGGCGGCGCGGCUGGAGGAGAGAAGGUGAGGGGGGGGUUGGGAAAUUAGAUCGAUGCCUGGGCCUCUGAUACCAUGUAGAGAAACAGGGUUGAGGGCAAUUGGUCACACCUCAAUGAGAGGGGGCACCUUCUAUUAUAUAGAGCUGGCUGGCCUGCUUUACAAGGCAGGGAUAAUUCCCCUGAUUUAUCCCUGAUUUACAUCUGCUAUAUCUAGCAACUAAUCCCUGAUUUACAUCUGCUAUCUAUAGCAGCUAGGAUUCUAUCCCUGAUUUACAUCUGCUAUCUAUAGCAGCUAGGAUAUCCACAGAUGGCAUAUUCUAUUGCCUAAC